rnacentral:rRNA from 1 species
UACCGGCCCCGCAAAAGGGUUUAAAAACUCCAAAAUUGAAAUUUGAACGGGGGGCCCCGCACCAAGCGGUGGAAGCAUGUGGUUUAAUUCGAUGCAACGCCGAAGAACCUUACCCUACCCUUGACAUUCCAGAGGACUUUCCAGAGAUGGAUUUGGUGCCUUCCGGGAACUCUGAGACAGGUGCUGCAUGGCUGUCGUCAGCUCGUGUUGUGAAAUGUUGGGUUAAGUCCCGUAACGAGCGCAACCCCUAUCCUUAUUUGCCAGCGAGUAAUGUCGGGAACUCUAAGGAGACUGCCGGUGACAAACCGGAGGAAGGUGGGGACGACGUCAAGUCAUCAUGGCCCUUACGGGUAGGGCUACACACGUGCUACAAUGGCAAGUACAAAGGGUUGCAAUACGGCGACGUGGAGCCAAUCCCAUAAAGCUUGCCUCAGUCCGGAUUGGAGUCUGCAACUCGACUCCAUGAAGUCGGAAUCGCUAGUAAUCGUGGAUCAGAAUGCCACGGUGAAUACGUUCCCGGGCCUUGUACACACCGCCCGUCACACCAUGGGAGUGGACUGCACCAGAAGUGGUUAGCCUAACCUUCGGGAAGGGCGAUCUAUAUAGU